CCGCCCAGCACAUUGAGUCAUUGAGCAAAUAUUUACUGAGUGCCUACUAUGUGCCAGGUACAGGUAGGGGAAUCACACCGGCCUUCCAGUCCUGCUCUAUUUUAAUCGCAGCAUUUAUCACUUUAUGCAAUUAUUUUGUUCGUUUUGCUGUUUGCAGAUUAUUGUCUGCCAUCCCCACUAGAAUUUAAAAGCCCUGAGAGUGGGGGUCUCGCCUGCCUUGUCCUCUGCUGUGUGCCCAGCCCCAGGGACUGGCCUGGCACUUGGACGGGAAACUGAGGCUCAGGUCCCGGCCACGCAGAAGCCACAGCAAUAAGGAAUGCCAGAGCCAGAGCAUUCUUUCUUCUAGGUUCUAUCAGUGAAAUGGGUAUAAGACAAAUUAACAGGAGAAAAACAAAUUUAAUUUCAUAUGUCCGGGAGCCCCAUAAGGAUAUGAAGACUCACAAGGCAGCCAGGAUGGCUGGUCAUGGCUGCGAGUAUCAAAUGCUGACCAAGAUAGUGGCCAAAAUCCUAAUGACACUGAUGAUGGAUGGAGCUUAAAAUCCAGAGGUCAGUUGUUCCAGAAUUGUCCCAAUAGCUCAAUGAUGUCAGCAAGGACCUAAGCUCUUUCUGUCUUUCAUUAUCCUCAGCACAUUGGCUGUUGUCCUUCACUGUGUCACCCAGUGGUCCAAAGAUGGCUCCCUCAGCUGCAAGCAUCCUUCAGCAGUUACGUUCAAAAGCAGAAAAGAAAAGAGAAAAAGAGAGCUCUCUUUGUGAGUUCUUCCUCCUGGGUUUCUCUCCAAGGGUCUCAGUGGAAACGAUUUCCCAGAAACCCUCUUGCUGGGAUCACAUGUCUGGAUCACAUGACCACCCCUGGUUGCAAAGGAGUCUGUGAAAGCAAGGAUCUGGGACAGGGCACUGGCUCAGACCCCCGUGGGUGGGGGCAGGCCAGUUGUAACAUUUGCGGAGCUCAGGGCAAGAACACAUGAUGAUAAAUAAAACAUGUCCUCACCUGCUAACCUGACAGAUACACCUUCAAAACCACGUGGAAGAUCAGGUGUGAAUUUAGAAUCCUUCAACUCCUCAGAGUCCUGUGCCAGAAUGUGGCUCCUGGCUCACCGCCCAUCCUCCUUCUCUUCCCAUCCCCGGUCCAAUCCCGU